GAUGAACGCUGGCGGCGUGCCUAAUACAUGCAAGUCGAGCGAACAGACGAGGAGCUUGCUCCUCUGACGUUAGCGGCGGACGGGUGAGUAACACGUGGAUAACCUACCUAUAAGACUGGGAUAACUUCGGGAAACCGGAGCUAAUACCGGAUAAUAUAUUGAACCGCAUGGUUCAAUAGUGAAAGACGGUUUUGCUGUCACUUAUAGAUGGAUCCGCGCCGCAUUAGCUAGUUGGUAAGGUAACGGCUUACCAAGGCAACGAUGCGUAGCCGACCUGAGAGGGUGCUCGGCCACACUGGAACUGAGACACGGUCCAGACUCCUACGGGAGGCAGCAGUAGGGAAUCUUCCGCAAUGGGCGAAAGCCUGACGGAGCAACGCCGCGUGAGUGAUGAAGGUCUUCGGAUCGUAAAACUCUGUUAUUAGGGAAGAACAAAUGUGUAAGUAACUAUGCACGUCUUGACGGUACCUAAGCAGAAAGCCACGGCUAACUACGU
rnacentral:rRNA from 1 species